UCAGAUUCAAGCGCGGCAAAUACAACCGGAAGCUUCAUCCUCCUCGGAUGAUAUCCAAAUAGUCCGACUUUAGCAUGUUUCUAAACCUUAAAAGUCGGCUCUGGACGGUUUUUCAUUGAAACUGAAGGUUAAGUUCAGGUCCCUGACGACUUCUAUGAAGAAACUCCACUUAUUAUGGUGCCUGAUGAAGAGCGAGGGAAGAAUUCAAGACAAUAAUUGAAGAGGAAUUCUUCUGCUCAACUCUUCCAGUGUUGUUAUCCUUCUCUGCCGGCCACUCGUAGAUAUACAGAGCUGUGUGGGAGGAACCAGCGUCCAGCACGAUUCCAUACUGGAGAGGAGACAGAAGGGGAGGCGGGGGACCAGUUCAAUGCUGGGGGGAAUGCAACUCAAACAGAAUCAACAUUGGAUCAUUCAGUCUGGAGGCCUCCAGGGCUCUGUGGUGUCAGUCCUCCGCCUCGCAGUCUGUGUCCUGAUGCUGGUUGGCUGUUGAACCCAGAUGUGCGUAGGACUCUCACAGACUACCGGUGCAGAGGUGCGUAUGCUUACAUUGUACUCCUCCCUGAAGAGCUUGCCAUCGUCAGCAGAGCGGAGCCGGUACUCCUCCUCUAGGUGGUCAACUGAGAUGGGUAAGUAGGUCUUGGAGGCCGACGGGGAUCUUGGGAGUAGGACCACCGUCUGUUGCUCUGUGAGGAGAAAGGUAAGUGAGUUUAUUAUCCCUGGUGGAUUGAUUGGGUUGAAUGUUAUGGAGGGGGAUUUUUAGUGGGUUAAUGAAAAUACUGAUUAAACCUUUAAUUGAUUCAGUUAUUGAAUGACUUACGAUGAGAAAUUACUUCGAAACAGGAUUGGGUUUAAUUAAAUCAGGAUUUCUCAAUGUGAUUUCUCAAGAGCAUCUUGACAACAACCCCUGUCCUGUCCUAUUCCAAAUGUGUCUUCUUGGUCUACUGAGUUUUAAACAUGAUUAAUUAUAUGUGAAAGUGGGCUUUAUGUUUCAGUAUGUUGGGCCGAUAUUGCAUUAUAACUGACUCUGAGGAGCAGACACUCUAUUUGUCAACCAUUUACUCUAGGCUAUAUGGAUUUAUUUAUUUACCUUUGGAUGUCUAUUCAAAACAUAAAUCCAUUAUUUAAAACUUUCUACAACCACUUUACUUUGCUAUCAUUUUGAACUAACACUUUUAACCUUUAACCGUUACUUUAUCCAACUUUUCAAACACUUUUAGAAAACUCUACGCGAUCAACUUCAACCAUUUAGUCAUUACUUCAUGCUAACUACCAGUAUUCCAACUUAACUCUAGGCUACUUGAGCUAAACUUACAAACUGUUAACUUUAUACUUAUUAAUUAUCAACACUUAGAUGAUACAUUAGCUUAAUAACAAACCUUUUAUCUGUGUACCUCUUCAAACUUU